rnacentral:rRNA from 2 species
GCAGUCGAACGAACUCUGGUAUUGAUUGGUGCUUGCAUCAUGAUUUACAUUUGAGUGAGUGGCGAACUGGUGAGUAACACGUGGGAAACCUGCCCAGAAGCGGGGGAUAACACCUGGAAACAGAUGCUAAUACCGCAUAACAACUUGGACCGCAUGGUCCGAGUUUGAAAGAUGGCUUCGGCUAUCACUUUUGGAUGGUCCCGCGGCGUAUUAGCUAGAUGGUGAGGUAACGGCUCACCAUGGCAAUGAUACGUAGCCGACCUGAGAGGGUAAUCGGCCACAUUGGGACUGAGACACGGCCCAAACUCCUACGGGAGGCAGCAGUAGGGAAUCUUCCACAAUGGACGAAAGUCUGAUGGAGCAACGCCGCGUGAGUGAAGAAGGGUUUCGGCUCGUAAAACUCUGUUGUUAAAGAAGAACAUAUCUGAGAGUAACUGUUCAGGUAUUGACGGUAUUUAACCAGAAAGCCACGGCUAACUACGUGCCAGCAGCCGCGGUAAUACGUAGGUGGCAAGCGUUGUCCGGAUUUAUUGGGCGUAAAGCGAGCGCAGGCGGUUUUUUAAGUCUGAUGUGAAAGCCUUCGGCUCAACCGAAGAAGUGCAUCGGAAACUGGGAAACUUGAGUGCAGAAGAGGACAGUGGAACUCCAUGUGUAGCGGUGAAAUGCGUAGAUAUAUGGAAGAACACCAGUGGCGAAGGCGGCUGUCUGGUCUGUAACUGACGCUGAGGCUCGAAAGUAUGGGUAGCAAACAGGAUUAGAUACCCUGGUAGUCCAUACCGUAAACGAUGAAUGCUAAGUGUUGGAGGGUUUCCGCCCUUCAGUGCUGCAGCUAACGCAUUAAGCAUUCCGCCUGGGGAGUACGGCCGCAAGGCUGAAACUCAAAGGAAUUGACGGGGGCCCGCACAAGCGGUGGAGCAUGUGGUUUAAUUCGAAGCUACGCGAAGAACCUUACCAGGUCUUGACAUACUAUGCAAAUCUAAGAGAUUAGACGUUCCCUUCGGGGACAUGGAUACAGGUGGUGCAUGGUUGUCGUCAGCUCGUGUCGUGAGAUGUUGGGUUAAGUCCCGCAACGAGCGCAACCCUUAUUAUCAGUUGCCAGCAUUAAGUUGGGCACUCUGGUGAGACUGCCGGUGACAAACCGGAGGAAGGUGGGGAUGACGUCAAAUCAUCAUGCCCCUUAUGACCUGGGCUACACACGUGCUACAAUGGAUGGUACAACGAGUUGCGAACUCGCGAGAGUAAGCUAAUCUCUUAAAGCCAUUCUCAGUUCGGAUUGUAGGCUGCAACUCGCCUACAUGAAGUCGGAAUCGCUAGUAAUCGCGGAUCAGCAUGCCGCGGUGAAUACGUUCCCGGGCCUUGUACACACCGCCCGUCACACCAUGAGAGUUUGUAACACCCAAAGUCGGUGGGGUAACCUUUUAGGA